rnacentral:pre_miRNA from 1 species
UUAACUCAAAUUUGUAUGGAUUUGGAACGUUCGCCUACGUUUGCCGCUAGGGGCGCUGUUCCUACUGCAUAGAAAUUUGAGUUA